rnacentral:lncRNA from 1 species
CUUCCCACGUGGCCAUGGUACAUAUAAAGUUUGGAUACUUAUACAUGGCUAUGGAAUCUAAAGAACACUUUUCAACUACCAUGAUAAUAUUUGAGGACUUGUGUGGAUAUGUAUCUAAUUUUAUAUGAACUGUAGAAUCAAAAAAUCUAAAUAACAUCAUUCAACUAGUUUUUUUUUAUGAGAUCUUAGAUCUUAAACCCAAGCUUCUCC